GGCGAGAUGUGUGAGUGGUCUAAACAGCUGUCUUAAGGAGAAGCAUCUCUGCAAGAAACGGCAGUCCUCCGGGGCGUGGGUUCGAAUCCCACUCUCGUCA
rfam:Cryptococcus amylolentus CBS 6039 supercont1.12, whole genome shotgun sequence.